UACGUAGGGGGCUAGCGUUGUCCGGAAUCAUUGGGCGUAAAGCGCGUGUAGGCGGCUUGGCAAGUCGGAUGUGAAAGCCCACGGCUCAACCGUGGAAGCGCAUCCGAAACUGCUUCGCUCGAGUCUCGGAGAGGAAGGUGGAAUGCUUGGUGUAGAGGUGAAAUUCGUAGAUAUCAAGCAGAACACCUGCGGCGAAGGCGGCCUUCUGGACGAUGACUGACGCUGAGACGCGAAAGCGUGGGGAGCAAACAGG
rnacentral:rRNA from 1 species